rnacentral:rRNA from 1 species
GGGUUGCGGACAGUGUCUGGUGGGUAGUUUGACUGGGGCGGUCUCCUCCCAAAGAGUAACGGAGGAGCACGAAGGUUAGCUAAUCCUGGUCGGACAUCAGGAGGUUAGUGCAAUGGCAUAAGCUAGCUUGACUGCGAGCGUGACGGCGCGAGCAGGUGCGAAAGCAGGUCAUAGUGAUCCGGUGGUUCUGAAUGGAAGGGCCAUCGCUCAACGGAUAAAAGGUACUCCGGGGAUAACAGGCUGAUACCGCCCAAGAGUUCAUAUCGACGGCGGUGUUUGGCACCUCGAUGUCGGCUCAUCACAUCCUGGGGCUGAAGUAGGUCCCAAGGGUAUGGCUGUUCGCCAUUUAAAGUGGUACGCGAGCUGGGUUUAGAACGUCGUGAGACAGUUCGGUCCCUAUCUGCCGUGGGCGCUGGAGAAUUGAGGGGGGCUGCUCCUAGUACGAGAGGACCGGAGUGGACGCAUCACUGGUGUUCGGGUUGUCAUGCCAAUGGCAUUGCCCGGUAGCUAAAUGCGGAAGAGAUAAGUGCUGAAAGCAUCUAAGCACGAAACUUGCCCCGAGAUGAGUUCUCCCUGACUCCUUGAGAGUCCUGAAGGAACGUUAAAGACGAUGACGUUGAUAGGUCGGAUGUGUAAGCGUAGCGAUACGUUGAGCUAACCGAUACUAAUGAACCGUGAGGCUUAACCUUACAACGCCGAAGGUGUUU